rnacentral:rRNA from 2 species
GGGGCAGACGCUGGCGGCGUGCCUAAUACAUGCAAGUCGAGCGGACAGAUGGGAGCUUGCUCCCUGAUGUUAGCGGCGGACGGGUGAGUAACACGUGGGUAACCUGCCUGUAAGACUGGGAUAACUCCGGGAAACCGGGGCUAAUACCGGAUGCUUGUUUGAACCGCAUGGUUCAAACAUAAAAGGUGGCUUCGGCUACCACUUACAGAUGGACCCGCGGCGCAUUAGCUAGUUGGUGAGGUAACGGCUCACCAAGGCAACGAUGCGUAGCCGACCUGAGAGGGUGAUCGGCCACACUGGGACUGAGACACGGCCCAGACUCCUACGGGAGGCAGCAGUAGGGAAUCUUCCGCAAUGGACGAAAGUCUGACGGAGCAACGCCGCGUGAGUGAUGAAGGUUUUCGGAUCGUAAAGCUCUGUUGUUAGGGAAGAACAAGUACCGUUCGAAUAGGGCGGUACCUUGACGGUACCUAACCAGAAAGCCACGGCUAACUACGUGCCAGCAGCCGCGGUAAUACGUAGGUGGCAAGCGUUGUCCGGAAUUAUUGGGCGUAAAGGGCUCGCAGGCGGUUUCUUAAGUCUGAUGUGAAAGCCCCCGGCUCAACCGGGGAGGGUCAUUGGAAACUGGGGAACUUGAGUGCAGAAGAGGAGAGUGGAAUUCCACGUGUAGCGGUGAAAUGCGUAGAGAUGUGGAGGAACACCAGUGGCGAAGGCGACUCUCUGGUCUGUAACUGACGCUGAGGAGCGAAAGCGUGGGGAGCGAACAGGAUUAGAUACCCUGGUAGUCCACGCCGUAAACGAUGAGUGCUAAGUGUUAGGGGGUUUCCGCCCCUUAGUGCUGCAGCUAACGCAUUAAGCACUCCGCCUGGGGAGUACGGUCGCAAGACUGAAACUCAAAGGAAUUGACGGGGGCCCGCACAAGCGGUGGAGCAUGGGGUUUAAUUCGAAGCAACGCGAAGAACCUUACCAGGUCUUGACA